GGCUGUUGCGAUUGCGGAAAUUGUGAAGCGCUCUCCUUUAUUGGAAGAUUUCAGGUGCUCUUCUACCAGGGUAGGUUCUGAAGGAGGGAGUGCCUUGUGCGAAGCACUUGGGAUGUGCUCCCAUUUGAAGAAGCUUGAUUUGCGAGACAAUAUGUUUGGUCCAGAAGUUGGUCUUGUGUUGAGCAAGGCACUCAGCCAACAUGAAAAUCUUAAGGAAAUUUACCUGAGCUACCUUAAUUUAGAGGAUGAAGGAGCAAUUGCAAUAGCUAACGCUCUUAAAGAUUCAGCCCCUUCACUUGCUGUCUUGGAGAUGGCAGGUAAUGAUAUAACUGCUGAAGCUGCUUCAGCAAUAGCUUCUUGUAUAGCUGCAAAGCAGCUUCUUGCCAAGUUAAGCUUGGGUGAGAAUGAACUCAAGGAUGAAGGUGUAAUUCAGAUUGCCAAGGCAUUGGAAGGACACAAACAUCUGACUGAAGUUGAUAUGAGCAGCAAUGCACUAAGGAGGGCUGGGGCUAGGGUGCUGGCUCAAACUGUGCUGCAGAAAGAUGAGUUUAAAUUACUAAAUGUUAAUGGGAAUUUCAUCUCAGAAGAAGGCGUUGACGAGUUGAAAGAGAUCUUCAAGAAAUCUCCUGAAAUGCUUGCAUCCCUGGAAGAUAAUGACCCGGAAGGAGAAGACGAGGGUGACGAGGAGAAAGAAUCUGGAGAUGAGGACGUUGAGGAUGAACUAGAAUCAAAACUGAAAAACCUGGACGUCAAGCAAGAGGCAAGUGUUGACGCACACGCACCAGAUAGCAAUUAGAAUCCAGUACUUGACGAUUUUUCUGCAUGUGGCAGUUUUAGUUUUACCAUUUUCUUUAUGCUAAGCUGGCCAUAUUAUGUUCCUCCAGCAAGUGCUUCUAACAUAUAGUUCCAUCAGUAAUUUAAAUUUGGUGGAAUUGAACUGUUGCCUUAAUUGGUCACGUUAGGUCUCUAGUUGAACUAUGUAGGGUACGAGAGAGAACUACUUUUUAUUUAUGUUGAACCUUCUUUUGUGUUAUGUAGACUUUAAUCUUCUUCUUUUCUUUUUAAAUUU
rnacentral:misc_RNA from 1 species